AAAUGCGUGUAGAAUAUAACCAGAGUGCUUGUCUAGCUAGCCUGCUGUCAUUCAUGUAAUUUGGCAAAGUCAGCUAUGUCAAGAUUGAAUUUAAACGUUCGAUCACGGUUAAAUCGCGUUAAAAAAUGUUAUUUAAAGUACUUGUGUAUCUAGCUUGCUGUCAUUCAUGUAAAUUAGUAAACGCUUGACUUUUCAUUCAUCAACAUUGCAAAAGCAAUACGUGUUUGGCAAAGUCAGCUAUGUCAAGGUUAAAUUUAAACGUUCGAUUUCUAUUCGAAAACAUGUGAUUAAAGUGCUUGUGUAUCUAGCUUGCUUUCAUUCAAUGUAUCUUCAUUAGUACGCCGACUAAAAGGAGUUUCUUUCUUAGAGCGAAUUGAGUUGUUGCACUAAACGUUAGCCAUCUUGACAGCCAUUGCAUUGAGAGCCCUGUUUUGUAAAACAAAUGGAUUUAACAUGAGAGUCUAGAGGUCUGGGGCAAUUUUCAUUUCGCCCAAAACCAUUCGAAGCAUGACUAGCCUGAUUGGACAAUGACAAACCGCCCCUGCCAACAACCAGGCUUAUUGGGUGAGAGACAUGAGGAGAACGAGAAAAGUGGUGCGACACAUGAAAGAGGAGUAGGGAAAAACACUUGCGCACAUGGAAGAAGUAGCCUACUAAGGGGCUAUACAGAGAAACCACCUUCAGUGAGUAACGUCAAGUAGACGCUGGAGUAUCAGACAUUUAGAAAGCGCGUGGGUAUUUGCAAUUUGUAUUAGUGGCGUUCUUUGAAGUUUAGCUCUCCCAACGGGGAUUAUAACCUAGCCUACUGCUAGCUCGCGGUCUGUCUGCUAGCACAGUAGUAAUAGCAUUCAGCAGUUUGUCCACAGUUAAUUAACCUAGUGGUAACAUUUUCGUCAUGUAGUUAAGUUGGUCAAUAUUCAAGUUAGUUUAGCUUCUGCUCAGUUAGCGCCACAGGUUUUCCGGACACGCUUCUGGUUCCACUAAGUGGCCGUUGAGCGAGCACCGCCACCCGGAUAGCAGCACUGGUGACCAGGGGAAAGCUUCAGCACGCUUCAUGCUUCAGUUCAGUGCUGACUCAGUGCAUGGAACUGACUCGAGUGGAGUUCUUGAAACUGGACACUGAACUCGACAUGUGUGGCCUUGGGACAUAGGACGUCCUCCCAGUUGGUGUUCAGGGGACUUUGACAUCUCUGUUCUAACCGGACAACCUGUCGCGAUUGGCACCUAUUACAACGACCUUCCCGCCAUAGAUAUAAUUUGGGGAUCCAGUCACGUAUCACCCUCCUUUUCACUAUUGUAGAGAUUCUGCCCAGCACGGGUCUCGUAGAUGAGCCACGCCAUGGCUUCCUCUCCCUACCCAGCUCCCGCGCCUGGGAAGACGGCCGCCCCGGCUCCCGCUCCCGCUCCUGCGAAGACGGCCACCCCAGCUCUAGCUCCUGCGAAGAUGGCCACCACAGCCCCCCUUCCCGCUAAGACGACCGCUCCAGCUCCUGCGAAGACGGCCACUCCAUCUUCAGCUCCUGCGAAGACGGCCGCCC